GGGGGUGCACUGGUUUCGACGGGGGUCGCGAAGUCGCUUGGCGCAUGCCGAGGGGGCAGCUUUCCUCGUUAAUCCAGCAGCAAACUUUUAGUUGCCAACGAUGACAACUACGGUUCGGACUUCGCUAUCGCCGCUUAAUUGGCUUUAGUUGUAGUUCUACAGCCGCCUAAGGCGAACCCCCGAACCUACUUGUGCCCGUGCUCGUAGGUGUAGGGUCAUUAUCACGGAACCAUCGGUAGUGGCUGCCUGUCAGCUACCGGUCAGAUAAAGCAGGCUGGUUUCCAGGUGCGCUUUGCCAACCGUGCUGCCUGGGAACGAGAUCUAACGGAGGGCUAAGCAUGUAGUGCUGGGGAUGGAGUGCUUCCGGACGGCGGUUCGAUUCCGCCCACCUCCACCAUCU
rnacentral:tmRNA from 1 species